GUUUUAGGCCCGCGCUCACUCACUAUUCGGACUCCGCGCAGUACACAUCGAACAGAGGGAACGCGGGAAGUGCGGAAAAAUAACCAUGUGAAUAGAACACAGAAACAUCAAUACGUAAAAGUAUACAUGGAAUAGCUUAAAACAGAAAACGAGUAUACUUUCCCAUAAAGAUUUUUAUAAAAGAAGGGAAAUUAAAUAGGUGAUAAACUUAAUCAAAGGUAAUACGAGUGAAUCCGACUGUUCAUCGAGAUCCUGAGAUUUCCACUAUGGUUCUUGGCCUAAUUACAGAUGUUCUCCUACUUAUUGUUCCUAUCUUACUAACGAUGUACCUGAUACGGAAGAACAGGAGAAAGUCCGGAAGAACACUGUAGUGAACAUAUUUUUUUAGAGGUUUCAUUAUCUGAUGAUGCAUCAACUAUUUAUUGUCAGACACAUGUAACUCGAUAGUAAUAGUUGCAUUUUUUACAUUGAUAGUCUGUACACAAUGCCUGUCAUAUGUACUUCGACAGAAUGCUUGGAUAUGUUAUGUGUACUACGGCACCAUCUGUCUAUUUCUCUAUCUAUUGAUCUUUGGUAAUAACCCAUUCAGUUUUCAAAGACAACCAUAACUUUUCCCAUAAUGGUCUCGUCUGCAUUUCAAAAUAAACAUCCACUGACUUUGUCAACAUAGUAACAUGUAAAUAAAACCGAAAACGAAAUUG